GAUGAACGCUGGCGGCGUGCCUAAUACAUGCAAGUCGAGCGAACGGUCUAGAUGCUUGCUUCUCUGCUGUUAGCGGCGGACGGGUGAGUAACACGUGGAUAACCUACCUAUAAGACUGGGAUACCUUCGGGAAACCGGAGCUAAUACCGGAUAAUCUUAUGAACCGCAUGGUUCAAAAGUGAAAGACGGUCUUGCUGUCACUUAUAGAUGGAUCCGCGCUGCAUUAGCUAGUUGGUAAGGUAACGGCUUACCAAGGCAACGAUGCAUAGCCGACCUGAGAGGGUGAUCGGCCACACUGGAACUGAGACACGGUCCAGACUCCUACGGGAGGCAGCAGUAGGGAAUCUUCCGCAAUGGGCGAAAGCCUGACGGAGCAACGCCGCGUGAGUGAUGAAGGUCUUCGGAUCGUAAAACUCUGUUAUUAGGGAAGAACAUAUGUGUAAGUAACUGUGCACAUCUUGACGGUACCUAAUCAGAAAGCCACGGCUAACUACGUG
rnacentral:rRNA from 1 species